GUGAUGGGAACCCGCGGGAGGAAAGCAGGGUCUCAGAUGGGGGGCGUGUCCUCUUCAUCCGGAGCGCAAGAUGGCGCUGCCCUUUGCACGUCCACUGUGCCUGUGCCGCUGGGGAGCCAAAAGGUUAGGGAUUGCUGCCGCGGAAACCCGCAGAGGCGUCAGUUUCAAACUGGAAGAAAAGACAGCCCACAGCAGCUUGGCCCUCUUCAAAAGUGACACAGGUGUCAAAUAUGGCAUGGUGGGAUUGGAGCCCACAAAAUUGGCCCUGAAUGUGGAGCGCUUCCGGGAGUGGGCAGUGGUGUUGGCAGACACAGCGAUCACCAGUGGCAGACACUACUGGGAGGUGACAGUGAAGCGCUCACAGCAAUUCCGGAUAGGAGUGGCAGAUGUGGACAUGUCCCGGGAUAGCUGCAUCGGUGUUGACGACCGUUCCUGGGUGUUCACCUAUGCCCAGCGCAAGUGGCACACCAUGUUGGCCAACGAGAAGGCCCCUAUUGAGGGCAUUGGGCAGCCAGAGAAGGUGGGGCUGCUGCUGGAGUAUGAGGCCCAGAAGCUGAGCCUGGUGGAUGUGAACCGGGUUGCUGUGGUCCAUACACUACAGACAGAUUUCCGGGGUCCAGUGGUGCCUGCCUUUGCCCUUUGGGAUGGAGAACUGCUGACUCACUCAGGGCUUGAGGUACCAGAAGGCCUCUAAUAUGUCCAUCACUGAAGUCCCUAAUCAUGCUCUUGGCCAGCCUCCUGCUCAAAAAGUGUCCGAAACCUUUUAAUUGUGGCCCAAGCAAGUACCAGCUCCCACCUGUCACUAGUUCAGUGACAGGUCCUCUGUGCAAUAUCUCAGUCGUCUUUGUUUCCCGUCCUGUGAAAGAUACCUUCAGCUGCAGCAACAUGCAGAGCUGUGCGGGAGUCAUAGUCUUUCUGUUCCAUGUCCAUGGCUGACAAGGCAAACCUGAGGGCCCUCACUUUCGGAAGAGAUCUCGGUCCAAGAGGCCACCACUGCUGGACUCUCGAACCCUGCGGCGCAUCUGGCUCAUGCAGUCCCGGAGCCUGGGAUCUGACGUCUGCAGUCCGGUAGCCUUCAGUGCCUUCAGGGGAAAGAAGCCUGGUAAGGUCAGCUACAAGGACAAUAAUGCAAUCCUAACAGUCUUUCCCAAUGGAUAACAAUCAGUGCAACCCCAACUACCCCAACAAGUGGAAUAAAUGGAUUUGCAGACUAAGAAAGGAUGUAACAGCUUUGAAGGCUAAUGGGGUUUUCCACCCUUUUUCAUCAAGGCAGCUGAUUUCUGAACCCCUUGGGUCAAAUCCCAAACCAAGAAGAUGGGCUGAGUCAGAGAUGGGAUUGCUGCAUCAGCCUAUGCCUCUGCUAUCAUCAGCUAUUUUUCAUCCUCAUGAAGCAGCUCGUUAGCUGCCCCGUUCUUGUCCCACCUUCCUUUACCCAGUUUCCAGAGAUCCUAAGGGGUUUGUCUUCUGUGAAGGUAGAGAGGAACUUACAGUAGUGAACUUGUGGAUAGGGAUUCGUUCCUGUCCCUCAGCAACUGUGUAGAAGAGAAGAUCACCCAGGCGGGACAGCAUGCCACUUUCUGACGGAUCACUGUUGAGGGGGCAGAGACAGGGGAGGAGGACAGGAACCUGAGAAUUGCUCUCUGUUCCUCCUCUUAGAACAAGGGCUUAUCAAUAGGUAGGUGUCCUUAGACUCCACCUUCUCCCUGAACCAUCUGAUCUAUCCCUGUAAUUCUGACUUUACAUAACUACCUUGAGAAGUCUUUUUCGGGGGGGGGGGGCGGUGUACCAGCAUCAUGUAGAAGUACCCAGACCAGAGACUGAAUCUGAGCCACAGCUGUGGCAACACUGGAUCCUUUAUUUGUUAUAUGUUCCCAGGAUAUGGGUCGAAUCAGCACAGCAGCUGCUGGCCUACGCCACAGCAAUUCGAGAUCUGAGCCAUGUCUGUGACCUACACCACAGCUCAUGGCAAUGCUGGAUCCUUAACCCACUGAGUAAGGCCAGGGAUCGAAUCUGCAUCCUCAUGGAUACUAGUCAGGUUCAUAACCUGAUGAGCCACAACGGGAACUCCCAAAGUUGUGCCCCUUAUAGCUGUGUGAUCUGAAUAUGGGUAGUAAAUCAGGUUAUUUAAUGCAGCUGAACCUGCUUCCUCAUCUGUAAAAUAAGUAUAGUGGUGUCUGUUUCACAUGGGUAAUGUGAGGCUUAAUUUAAAUUUUCUUUUUGCUUUUUUUUUUUUUUUUGCUCUUUAGGGCCGUACUCAUAGCAUAAGGAAGUUCCCAGGCUAGGGGUCGAAUUGGAGCUGUAGCCCCUGGCCUACGCCACAGCAACACCAGAUCCGAGCCACGUCUGUGACCUACAUCACAGCUCACAACAACUAUUUGAGAUCUAAGACCCUUCAAAACUCUAGACUCAACAAUUUCACCUCCAGGUAUUUAUCGUAUAAGUGUAUUCACAUCCUAUAAGGUAAUAUAUUCAAGGCUAUUCAUUGCAUUGUUAGUAACACUGGGAACAACCUAAAUGUGCAACAAGAAAAUGGUUAGGUGGAGUUCCCGUUGUGGUGCAGCAGUUAACGAAUCUGACUAGUAACCAUGAGGAUGAGGGUUUGAUCCCUGGCCUUGGUCAGUGGGCUAAGGAUCUGGGCGUUGUGCUUGUAGCACCUUGGGUUGCUCCAGUGGCGAGGUUUGAUCCCUGGCCUGGAAACCUCUGCGUGCUGCAGACUCAGCCAACCACCCCCCCACCAAAAAAAAUAGAAAAAUGAUGGCAUGCUUUAAUGAUAUGGAAUGAUCUUUAAGAUGUAAUAAUAACUAAAAAAAAA